UCGCAAAUACGCCGCCGGUUUGCCAAUCCUCUCUCAAAUCUAGCCUCCAGCGGCAGGCCGCUCUCUCUCCCUACCAAACCAACUCCUUGCAAACGACGUGGUCUUCUUUCUUGUAGAAGGCCGAAAGAGGAGAAUUUUUUUUUUUUAUUUUUUUUCUAAGCGAAAGAGGAGAAUUUGCAAUGGCCACAGCUACAUACUACCCACCCCCACCACCGUAUUAUAUAGAUUGCACGAAGAUUACUUACAAAACCCUAAGUCCGCUCCUGAGCCUCCUCCAAUUGAAGGGACCUACAUCUGUUUUGGUGGAAAUUACACCGUAAGAUCCUUCAGUCCAUGGCAUACACUUACCUAGAAAUUAUGUUUCCAUGGUUGUUUGUUCUUUUGAUUAUUGGAAUUUUUUUUAUAUACUGAUUAUGUGCUUCCAAGCUUGGAAGAGCAAGGAGUGCGUCGGCUCUAUCCCAAGGGACCCAAUGUAGAUUUCAAGAAAGAACUGAGGUCGCUUAAUAGAGAAUUGCAGUUGCACAUUUUGGAGCUUGCAGAUACUGUUAUUGAGAGACCAUCGCAAUAUGCUAGAAGAGUAGACGACAUAUCCCUCAUAUUUAAGAACUUGCAUCACCUGCUCAAUUCAUUGAGACCCCAUCAGGAGGAGAGUUGAAGCGCAGAAACUUCUCAAGGAGGCUCUUGGAACUUUGGAGUCAGUAGCGCAUAAAUUGUUCACUGAGUUUAAAAGUAGAAUGGUGUGUGCUGGUAGUUGCCACUUACCAUCGAUGGUUUUUCCCUGAAAAUUUGUGGAGGUCUCUAAAUUCCAAUACUUGUAGAUUGCAGUUUCAUACCAUAAAGAUGUGACAAAUUUUCAAGGCUUGAGUUGAGUAGAUUGCAGUUUCAGUUGGCAUCUCAAGAGGGUUUAUGCUGACAGUUUCAAUCUUGCAGUUACCUUUUAUGUAGACUAGAAAUUCUUGAUGUUAGAUCCUGAAGUUCUGACUUGUAAAACAAUCUUUGUGUAGAAUCUUAAUGCCAUUUUGAGAUGUUAUUCAUGUGCUGUUGUAAAAUUUUCCUAUACUAUGUCAUAUCUGAGAAUUUUGUGCCUGGCAA